rnacentral:rRNA from 1 species
UGAGGAAUAUUGGUCAAUGGGCGGGAGCCUGAACCAGCCAAGCCGCGUGAGGGAGGAAGGCCCUAUGGGUCGUAAACCUCUUUUGUCAGGGAACAAAAGCGAGUAUGUAUACUAGUCUGAGUGUACCUGAAGAAAAAGCAUCGGCUAACUCCGUGCCAGCAGCCGCGGUAAUACGGAGGAUGCGAGCGUUAUCCGGAUUUAUUGGGUUUAAAGGGUGCGUAGGCGGCGGUGCAAGUCAGCGGUAAAAGCCCGGGGCUCAACCCCGGCGAGCCGUUGAAACUGCAGUGCUAGAGAAGGCGAGAGGUACGCGGAAUGCGCAGUGUAGCGGUGAAAUGCUUAGAUAUUGCGCAGAACUCCGAUUGCGAAGGCAGCGUACUGGCGCCUGACUGACGCUGAAGCACGAAGGCGUGGGUAUCGAACAGGAUUAGAUACC